rnacentral:rRNA from 1 species
CCUACGGGAGGCAGCAGUGGGGAAUAUUGGACAAUGGGGGGAACCCUGAUCCAGCCAUGCCGCGUGUGUGAAGAAGGCCCUCGGGUUGUAAAGCACUUUCAGUGAGGAAGAACGCCUGGUGGUUAAUACCCAUCAGGAAAGACAUCACUCACAGAAGAAGCACCGGCUAACUCCGUGCCAGCAGCCGCGGUAAUACGGAGGGUGCGAGCGUUAAUCGGAAUUACUGGGCGUAAAGCGCGCGUAGGUGGCUUGAUAAGCCGGUUGUGAAAGCCCCGGGCCCAACCUGGGAACGGCAUCCGGAACUGUCAAGCUAGAGUGCAGGAGAGGAAGGUAGAAUUCCCGGUGUAGCGGUGAAAUGCGUAGAGAUCGGGAGGAAUACCAGUGGCGAAGGCGGCCUUCUGGACUGACACUGACACUGAGGUGCGAAAGCGUGGGUAGCAAACAGGAUUAGAUACCCCAGUAGUC